rnacentral:rRNA from 1 species
GACGAACGCUGGCGGCGUGCUUAACACAUGCAAGUCGAACGGAAAGGCCCUGCUUUUGUGGGGUGCUCGAGUGGCGAACGGGUGAGUAACACGUGAGUAACCUGCCCUUGACUUUGGGAUAACUUCAGGAAACUGGGGCUAAUACCGGAUAGGAGCUCCUGCUGCAUGGUGGGGGUUGGAAAGUUUCGGCGGUUGGGGAUGGACUCGCGGCUUAUCAGCUUGUUGGUGGGGUAGUGGCUUACCAAGGCUUUGACGGGUAGCCGGCCUGAGAGGGUGACCGGCCACAUUGGGACUGAGAUACGGCCCAGACUCCUACGGGAGGCAGCAGUGGGGAAUAUUGCACAAUGGGCGGAAGCCUGAUGCAGCAACGCCGCGUGCGGGAUGACGGCCUUCGGGUUGUAAACCGCUUUCGCCUGUGACGAAGCGUGAGUGACGGUAGUGGGUAAAGAAGCACCGGCUAACUACGUGCCAGCAGCCGCGGUGAUACGUAGGGUGCGAGCGUUGUCCGGAUUUAUUGGGCGUAAAGGGCUCGUAGGUGGUUGAUCGCGUCGGAAGUGUAAUCUUGGGGCUUAACCCUGAGCGUGCUUUCGAUACGGGUUGACUUGAGGAAGGUAGGGGAGAAUGGAAUUCCUGGUGGAGCGGUGGAAUGCGCAGAUAUCAGGAGGAACACCAGUGGCGAAGGCGGUUCUCUGGGCCUUUCCUGACGCUGAGGAGCGAAAGCGUGGGGAGCGAACAGGCUUAGAUACCCUGGUAGUCCACGCUGUAAACGGUGGGUACUAGGUGUGGGGUCCAUUCCACGGGUUCCGUGCCGUAGCUAACGCUUUAAGUACCCCGCCUGGGGAGUACGGCCGCAAGGCUAAAACUCAAAGGAAUUGACGGGGCCCCGCACAAGCGGCGGAGCAUGCGGAUUAAUUCGAUGCAACGCGUAGAACCCUUACCUGGGUUUGACAUGGAUCGGGAGUGCUCAGAGAUGGGUGUGCCUCUUUUGGGGUCGGUUCACAGGUGGUGCAUGCCUGUCGUCAGCUCGUGUCGUGAGAUGUUGGGUUAAGUCCCGCAACGAGCGCAACCCUUGUUCACUGUUGCCAGCACGUUAUGGUGGGGACUCAGUGGAGACCGCCGGGGUCAACUCGGAGGAAGGUGGGGAUGACGUCAAGUCCUCAUGCCCCUUAUGUCCAGGGCUUCACGCAUGCUACAAUGGCUGGUACAGAGAGUGGCGAGCCUGUGAGGGUGAGCGAAUCUCGGAAAGCCGGUCUCAGUUCGGAUUGGGGUCUGCAACUCGACCUCAUGAAGUCGGAGUCGCUAGUAAUCGCAGAUCAGCAACGCUGCGGUGAAUACGUUCCCGGG